GCUGAUGUAGCUCAGUCGGUAGAGCGGCACCGGAAAUGCGAGUCGCUGGUUCAAGUCCAGCCAUCAGCA
rnacentral:tRNA from 1 species